UUUCCGCUACCUCAACCAUCGCACCAAAGCAUAAACCCAAAGCCAGCUCUGAAUCGUUAACCAUUCUUCUCUUUAGAAGACUUUUUUUAGGGUGUUUGGGAAAACUUUUUAAAUGACUUUUGUUUUUUAACUUUUCUAAAAAGUUAUAGAGAUGUUUGGAAGAUGCAAAAGUUCUUUUCAAAAUAAUUUUUUGUAAAGAAGAAAAUGAUGAGUUUUCAAAAAUCAAGAAAAUAUGACUUUUUAUAACUUCUAGACUUUUAAAGCUAAAUCAUAUUCAAAAAUCAAAAAAUAAUAUCCAAAGACUUUUUAAAACCCAUUUUUGACUUUUGUGACAACUUUUAAAAAAAAACUUUUUUAAAAGAAUUUUAAGCUUAAAAAGUUUUCCCAAACACCCCCUUUAUAUACAAAAAAAAAAAAAAAAAAAAAAAAAAGAAAAAAGUGGUUUCCACCAUUUUCGCCACCAUCCUCAGCCAGUACCGUUACCAGCGAGCCACCCCAUCGCACCACCAACGAGCCACCCCAACUCACCACAAGCAGACCACCUUCACCGCAAUCUCCCCUGCGGAAGACGCAACUACUAAAAACCACCACCUCUCACCAACACCAUUAAACCCUAGAUCUAUAACGCUAUCACCAUCACGAUCGUUCAUAUCCAUCGCCAUCGACAAUACUAUUGUGCACCAUUAAUUCUCGGUGAAACCUAUAAACCCCAGAUCUAUGCCAUCUCCACCACCACUCCUAGCCACGACAAUCGACACCGUUGAUUAACAUCACGAAACCCUAGAUCCAUACUCAGUCUCUCGUUUCUAAUCAACACUAUGGUUUUAAGCUACUCACUCAUCACAAACUCUGUUUCUUAGAAUUUGUUAGUGAUUUUGAAAGGUAGCUAGAGUACUAUUUCGUAAAUGGAAAAGAGAAACUAUGUGUGUUAAAUGUAAUGUGUAUGUAACUAGCAGUGUGUGUGUAUCUUAUAGUGUAUCUCUGAAUGCCUAUGUGUUAUUUAAGGACACGAAUAUAUUAAAAACAUUACUGUAGUUUGUAGCAAUUCUUACCCCCAACAAAGGCAUUGUACUUUGAAAUUGACACAGGGACGGUUACCAAGAAAAGUUAAUCCUUUAUAAAGACGUUUGAUGAUUUCUAGAGCCUUUUAACCCAACAAAGGCAUUGUAAAAAUGCCAAUAUUGAUCGUUAAUUCAGUUUUAGGAAUAUCUAAAAGUGAAACUUUUUGCUUCAACAUUCGAACCUUGUAGGCUUGUAGCAUAUUCAGGUAUCAACUUGAAAUCCAGAAGCAUGGCUUUUCAGAAUAUAUAUUUCUUACCUAUAGUAAUUUUCCUUGCAUCAUUUGAUCCUAUCAAGAUUAUUUUGGGUUUAGUAGUGUCUAAUCUUCUGAUGUGCUGAAUUGAGGAAUUUCUAUGAAGUGCUCCACUGCCUGGAUCAGCAGUUGAAAGCCUGCAUCUGGAAACCCUAUGUCAGGAUUUGGUAUGGUCUUUAUGUGUAUUUGGAAGUUGAACUCUUGAUUUCUUUAAAAAAAAGUGGUUUAAUUUCAAGAGAAGGGACGUAUUGUGAUAAAGAAAGAGAUCCCCUGCAGUAAAAACAUUCACCAGAUGGUUUAAAUGACGCCCUUGCACAUUCAACCCCCCCUGCCCCUGCAUAUGUAUAAAUGGGUUUAGAUUGACGGUACCUCUUGAUAUGAUGGCAAAAUGAAACCUUUCUUUCUAUUGGCAAAUCAAACAUUAAGAUUAGGAAGUAUCUUUUUUUUUUUUUUUUUUUUUUUGGUUGCUUGCGAUUCCAUGUGUUUAGAGAGAGAAGUAACAUUAUGCAUAAUGUUUCCAUGGAGAUUCAUGUGACUGGACUUAUGGAGGUCUCAUGGAGAUUCAUGUCCAUUAAACUAGAUUGGGUCCUUGUGCCUCAAUAGAAUCAUAGAUUACAAUCUCUUCAUGUCUGACAAGUGUAAGAUAUCACACCCAUGCUAUCAUAUAGUGUAUAAUUUGGCUGGGGUGACAACAGGAAACAUUGAGUUCUUGGCCAAAGUUAUCUCCUAAUAAUAAUAAUAAUAAUAAAAGGAAUGGUUAGAAUUUUGCUGUAA